CUCCUCCUCAUCCUCCUGUGUUCACUUGCACGGCAGCGGCGGUGGCGCCUCACCCGCCCAACGCGUCGUCGAGCAUCCUGCUGUUCCCUCCAGCAGCUCCACCACACCUCGAUUCCCUUCUCCUUCCUGUCGCCUCCCUCCACAGCCCCACCUCCAUCCAAUUAUCCCAAACCUAGCGGUGUAGUGGCGGGCCGGCGGCGACCACGCCGCAGCCGCCCGUUCCCCUCCCGGCCUUCGUUUCCCCACUUGCUGAUGCUCCCACUCGCCCGCAAACUACAGCCGCGGCCUGUGCUGCAAGUAUUCCAGAUCAUGAGAUUGAGGCCUGCAGGCAUAGCAGAUCGGCACGGCGUGGGCAGAUCUACGCGACGUGGCGAAGGGGCUGCUGCGAGCCUGCCCUGCGGGCAGCGGAUCCGGCCACCAGCACGCAUGGUCUGAGAGGCAAGAAGCGGCACAUGGGGGAGGCGGCGUACCGUGCAUCAGAGAGAAGAGGCAGCGCAGGGGAGGCGGAUCCACACUGCAUUCCUUGAAAUUGGUGGCUCUGACUAACCCGAGCGUGUGAGUGGCGAGGUGCUGGUGAGGGGCAAGCCCUCGACGCCUGUCGGCCGACAAGCCACUGACUGCUCGGUCCACGCUGUGUCACCAUCCAUAUCCCGUCGCCGUCCAAUACCAUGGGAAACCUUAGCGAGGACGGGUUGUAUGCAAACAUGAGAUUGGUGUUCGACAGCCAUCCGGAAGCCUGAAAUGAUGCCUGAAAGUGAUGUCUACAUGUAGAAAACUUGUAUGAUCGCCUUUCCUAAAAGAUGAAACACAUUUUUACAGCAAAGGAAAGCACGGCAGGUCUGUCUGCAUCUAUACAGCAUAAUGACUCUUUCCUAACAACCUAGGACUUGGAGUUCAUCUUGUUAGCUUAUGGUAUAGUGUUCCUUACCUGCAGAGUCAUAUUCUGUGUGCUAGUUACCUCAUGACCUGAUGAGUACUAGGAACCUUUGCUUUUAGAAACCAGAGUUCUUGCUAUAUAGCUAUACACUAUCUACUACUGAAUGUAAGCUACUCCAAAUACUUGCAGCAUCUUAUAACCAAAUUUGAUUCUGAUAAAUUGUGAUGCUUUCAGGUACCUAAUUCAAGGAGAAACAACUGAACAUGAAGAACUAGUUUCUUGGAUAUGACACAUGUUACUAUUCUUGAGCUCAACCUUUGUGAGAAGGUGCAGGUGUGUCGAAUGUGCUUCUGAGGCUGCUAGUGGAGAAAGGGAUACAUGCUAGUCCUAUCUAGUUAUUUCUGUAGCUUGUUUACUGUUCUCCAGAUUGUAGUUAUGCUUUUAGUAAUUUGUGACUUGUGCUUGCUGGAGCCACUUUGUUGAAGUGAACUGAUGAAGCUGACCUGUGUUCUUUGAACAUUGCAAUGUCAACUUUUGAUGUAUGCAAAUUUGUUUGAUACUAUGACGAUUA